rnacentral:rRNA from 1 species
UACAGAGGGUGCGAGCGUUGUCCGGAAUCACUGGGCGUAAAGGGCGCGUAGGUGGCCCGACAAGUCAAUGGUGAAAGUUCGACGCUUAACGUCGAAUCGGCCACUGAUACUGUUGGGCUGGAGCACUGUAGAGGCUCAUGGAAUUCCGGGUGUAGCGGUGGAAUGCGUAGAGAUCCGGAAGAACACCGGUGGCGAAGGCGGUGAGCUGGGCAGUGCUGACACUGAGGCGCGACAGCGUGGGGAGCAAACAGGG